rnacentral:rRNA from 1 species
UACGUAGGGGGCAAGCGUUGUCCGGAAUUAUUGGGCGUAAAGAGCGUGUAGGCGGUCCGGUAAGUCAGCUGUGAAAGUCAAGGGCUCAACCCUUGAAAGCCGGUUGAUACUGUCGGGCUAGAGUCCGGAAGAGGCGAGUGGAAUUCCCGGUGUAGCGGUGAAAUGCGCAGAUAUCGGGAGGAACACCAAUGGCGAAGGCAGCUCGCUGGGACGGUACUGACGCUGAGACGCGAAAGCUAGGGUAGCAAACGGG